UGGGGAAUAUUGCACAAUGGGCGAAAGCCUGAUGCAGCGACGCCGCGUGAGGGAUGACGGCCUUCGGGUUGUAAACCUCUUUCAGUAGGGACGAAGCGCAAGUGACGGUACCUGCAGAAGAAGCACCGGCUAACUACGUGCCAGCAGCCGCGGUAAUACGUAGGGUGCGAGCGUUGUCCGGAAUUACUGGGCGUAAAGAGCUCGUAGGCGGUUUGUCACGUCGUCUGUGAAAUCCUAGGGCUUAACCCUGGACGUGCAGGCGAUACGGGCUGACUUGAGUACUACAGGGGAGACUGGAAUUUCUGGUGUAGCGGUGGAAUGCACAGAUAUCAGGAAGAACAACGAUGGCGAAGGCAGGUCUCUGGGUAGUAACUGACGCUGAGGAGCGAAAGCAUGGGUAGCGAACAGG
rnacentral:rRNA from 1 species